AUAACGUCGAGAAAUCGGCGCUAAUACCGUAUAAUGCAGCGGCAUCGCAUGAUGAUGUUGUUAAAGUUCUUGAAACGCCUGUGGAUGAGCUUGUAUCUGAUUAGCUUGUUGGUGAGGUAAUGGCUCACCAAGGCUAUGAUCAGUAGCUGGUCUGAGAGGAUGAUCAGCCACAUUGGAACUGAGACACGGUCCAG
rnacentral:rRNA from 1 species